CAACUCGUCCAGCCGAGCCUGUAAAAGAGGGAAAGGGGCGAAAGGCAGAUUUGCACUCUGCUUGACCGGAGAGUCAGGCACAGGCACUGUCCUAAAUGGUUCUGAUCCCCCUUUCCUGCCGCGAGCCGCUUCAUUCCAUUAAAAAAAAAAAAAAAAAGACUAAGCCCCUCUACUGCCCCGACACAGCGACCUUGCGACGACUGCUGAGGUCCCAAACACCUGGGCCACAGCGACAGAAAUCCCCACUCUCCUCUGCCCAGACUAAUUCCCGAAAGAGCGAUCCCGAAUCCAGCCAUUUUCUACCGAGAGCAGAAGGAAAUUGCUAACUAAGUAACUAACCAAAUACGCGACUUGUAAAGAUUUGGGGGCGCCCGAAGCCAUCAAGGUCUCCCCCAACCCCCUCGGCCUUCCUAAUCCCUCAGAAUGUUCCCGAGUCCUUUUCCCUCAGUACAUUGCGGCUGUUUACACACUGAAAUCGAAAUCCAGAGAGACGUGUUUACCUUAUUAAAAAGACUUCUCUAUUGAGCUAGGGCGGUGGGCCAAUACUCAGACAGGCCGGGCAGCUCUGGCCCUGGUCGCAAUCCGGAGGACUAAAUGAUCGAACUCUGGCUUUCAGAACAUUUGAAUAAACUGAUAGAUCUAUAAAGGUCGAAAUCUGUGCCCUGGGAGGGCUAGCCCAGCCCCAAAUCUGACGAGCUCAUGUCCUGGGUAGAGUUCUGGGAGUUAGCCCCAGAAAUUCUGGCUAUCUAACCCCUUGCGUGCCCCAGACGGCGAAUAAAUGAAUGAAUGCUUCUCAGGCUGACUUUCCAAGAGGUGUUGCCCCUAGAUCUUUGACUUCCCUGCAGAUGUAUCCAUCUCUUAAAAAAAAAAAAAAAAAAAAAAAAAAAAAAACCAACAACAACCAACAAAAACGCAAUAACGUCCCAGUGGCAUUUUUAUGGUGGUGUUUGUAAAGCCUUCUGGAUUAGCUUUAAAACCCUGAAUUCUAUGGUGGCUGGAGAAAGUCUAUUUAUACCAUCUUGCUGCAUUUCCGGAGGCUGCUUAUAAGAUCAGUAAAACCCUAGCGAAUGUAUGCAAGUCUCAGCAAUAUCCUGGUGGUGUCAGCGAUAUCAGUGGCAGUAGCAAUUACCUUCAGUGAUCAAGCAGGAACUUUGUUAAUCUCUUUCUAUCCCCCCUCCAUUUUCCUAUCUCUCUUUUCAUCCUCCUCAUCUGGAGAGAUCUGGUGGGUCCAUAUGGAUGUUUACAAACAUCGUAAGUUGUAUUUAUAUGGAUAUAUAGAGAUAUACAUAUAUUUUAUAUAUUGUGUGCAGCCGCAUUUUAUUUUUUUAUGGGACGGAGCUAAAGUCCUCGUGCCUAUUUCCAGAACAAAACCUCUCCCUGGAAAGUUUCACCAAAAAUAAAUAGGGACUGGGAUGGAGCAGCCAAAAUAGGAUCUUUUCCCCCACUUAUUUUAGAAUGGAGGCCAAAUGAAAACAAUGGGGAGAGAGAAAGAAUCUGGGGUUUAAAACUCCGUGGGAGAAAGUCCUGAUUUGAGGUAGGGCGUUUGCAGUGAAAGCUUUAAAUAAGGUAUUUGUUGGAAUAUUGUGAAAAGCAGAGGCGCGGUGUGACUUGGCUAUCUCUGGAAACAUUUCCAUUUUAUACAAGCCUUUUCAAUCCCUCCAGCACCCUCCACUCCUCGGGGUGAGAGUUGGGAUUUGGGGUGAAUUGUCAUUGUUUUCGUGGUUUGGCCUAAAUUCUCGAUAGGAUUUUCCCAAGACCAAGUGAAAUUCUCAUUUCUCGGGGUAAAAGGGAAAAACGUUAUGUCCUUGUUCCCGUUGUGACUAAACCGGAAAAAAAAAAAAAUUUUUUUUAAUACCAGAACUAAAACAAAAUUGAAACCCAGCGUAUUCUAGAAGGCUGAUGUGUGAUAGGUUGGCAGGCGACCAAUUUGUUUCACCAUCCAGCUUUAGGUGUUUUUCAUGAAUCAAAACCAAUACACACGCACACCAGGAAACUGGUGUAACCCACACAACAAGCAAGCGGGGUUAGACCACAGCACGAGGCAGACCCCAGGGGCUCCCUCGGAGGCCAGACGCCUCCCCGGGCUACCUCUCAACUCUCGCAAAGCAAUUGAGGGAAGAGGGAGAGAAAGGCCACUUACCUCGAAAAUGCUCUUCAAAAGGGGAGAGGCUAUCCCUGGGAUCUGCCCGGGGCUCCAAGGACCCCAGACUCUGCCCGCUAUUCCUCGGUCUCGCCCGAUGAAAUAGUGACAACUCCAGCGAGUCCACAGUCAGGCAGGGCCACGGCCACGCCACGCAGUCUCCUUCCCAUCAAUAGGAGCAAUAAGUCAGAGGCUGCUCAUCACACAGGUGCGGGGCCCAAUUGCACCCGACCAUUCCAGACAGACCCCAAUUUCUCUAGCCACCGACACCAGCUACGUCGCUUCUGCAGCUCAGAGCCGGCCCUGGGCCGCCCACGAGCCCCGGAGCUCGCUCUCAGACGCCAAGAUCCAAACGAUGUUGGCUACCCGACCCCCUCCCCCUCCCAGAACCAUUGUUUGGAUUCCACGGGCCUGAGGGACCUCAGUUUGGGGGAGGAGGCAGCCGUGCUAUUCACAAUCAGUCCUCUCCAAGCCAUGCAACCGGUUUCCAGAAAUGGGUAGUUAGGGGUGGGGGUGGGGGUGUCCAGGCCAUCCAGGGGCCCGCAGAGAACCAACUGGGGUGGGACGUGCUCCAGAAAUGACCAGGUGCCCACCACCUCUCUGACUAGGCCCAUCCUCCCUCCCCCCUCCAUUCCCUCACUCCAAUAAUUCCUCCAAGGGGAAGUGAGAAGCCACUCUCGCCAAGGCUCGGCUUCCCCUUGGCCGGGGACGCUCGCCGCUACUGCUUUUGGCCACAGCGUGGCAGCAGCGAGCCCCGAGCGAGUCGCCAUAAAUAAUCGCACCCCCCUUGCUGCAGUUGCAGGGGAGCAGACACCGCAGUGCCAUGCAAAUACAAUUCUUUAGCAGCCGACGGAGCACAAACAACGCCGGUGUUAACAUUAGGAGUGCGCGCGGCUCCUUCUGAAUUACGGUAAUGAAUACCAAGAUAAUCCCCAAGCCCCAGCCCCCCGCACCGCUGCUGGCUGAGGACUUUGCCUCUCCUCGCCUCCGCGGCUCGCAGACCCGGGGGCGCCCUGGACCACCGAAACACGCGUGCGGAUGUUCGCAAAUCGGUUACGAAAACAUAGCCCUCUCAGCCCUCCCCGGGUCUCGAUCUGUUUGCCUUUUGCCUGUGAACUCUACACACACACACACACACACACACACACACACACCCCUUUUUCUUUUUCUUUUUUUUUUUUUUUAAAACAUAAUCUCUUCCCCUUACAGUCAAGUACAAGUCCUCGGUCCUAAACUAAAAGAAAUUCGCUUAGGAUUCAAAAGGAGUAGCGAGCUUCCAGACUGUACUACACAGACACCCAGAGAUAUAAUACGGAGGUGGACACACAGUCACUCAACAACAGCCGUGGCCCCCAAACAUCCACGCUGCAGUAUCUGCUCCAAAGCACCCCAAAGCGCUCUCGGCCACGGUACAAACCGAACCAUUCGAAGAGAACCAUCUCCACCAGCAGCGAAACUUCCGCCAAUUAACACGUAAGCCUAGUCCCCCAAGUCCCCCAAAUUCCAAGCACAAAUCCAUUUCCUCUAUUCUCCCAUUUCAGACCUCUCUCCUGGAAAUCCCGUACCAAACGAGAAGCUGCUAAUGGCAAGAGGGUUCUCUCAGUUUGAAGGAACUCCAGUCAUUCUGACAGCUGUCGCUUCGGUUGCUGCUCGGGAGACGAAUCGCUCUCCUUUUGGUGCCAGAAGAAGCAGGAAAUUAGCCAGGU